rnacentral:rRNA from 1 species
GACGAACCGUACGAACGUUAUUCGGAAUCACUGGGCUUAAAGGGUGCGUAGGCGGCGCUGAAAGUUGGGUGUGAAAUCCCUCGGCUUAACCGACGAAUUGCGCCCAAACCUACAGUGCUUGAGGGAGAUAGAGGUGAGUGGAACUUAGGGGGGCGCGGGGAAAUGCGUUGAUAUCCUAAGGAACACCAGUGGCGCAAGCGCCUCACUGGGUCGUCUCUGACGCUGAGGCACGCAAGCUAGGGUAGCGAACGGG